rnacentral:rRNA from 1 species
AUUGAACGCUGGCGGCAGGCUUAACACAUGCAAGUCGAGCGGGGUGAUGGUGCUUGCACUAUCACUUAGCGGCGGACGGGAGAGUAAUGCUUAGGAAUCUGCCUAUUAGUGGGGGACAACAUCUCGAAAGGGAUGCUAAUACCGCAUACGUCCUACGGGAGAAAGCAGGGGAUCACUUGUGACCUUGCGCUAAUAGAUGAGCCUAAGUCGGAUUAGCUAGUUGGUGGGGUAAAGGCCUACCAAGGCGACGAUCUGUAGCGGGUCUGAGAGGAUGGUCCGCCAGACUUGGACUGAGACACGGCCCAGGCUCCGACGGGAGGCAGCAGUGGGGAAUAUUGGACAAUGGGGGGAACCCUGAUCCAGCCAUGCCGCGUGUGUGAAGAAGGCCUUAUGGUUGUAAAGCACUUUAAGCGAGGAGGAGGCUCUUUUGGUUAAUACCCAAGAUGAGUGGACGUUACUCGCAGAAUAAGCACCGGCUAACUCUGUGCCAGCAGCCGCCGUAA